rnacentral:rRNA from 1 species
GUGGGGGAUAUUGCACAAUGGGGGAAACCCUGAUGCAGCGAUGCCGCGUGAGGGAAGAAGGUUUUCGGAUUGUAAACCUCUGUGGAGGGGGACGAUAAUGACGGUACCCCUUAAGGAAGCCACGGCUAACUACGUGCCAGCAGCCGCGGUAAUACGUAGGUGGCGAGCGUUGUCCGGAAUUACUGGGUGUAAAGGGAGCGUAGGCGGGAAAGCAAGUCAGAAGUGAAAACUAUGGGCUCAACCCAUAGCCUGCUUUUGAAACUGUUUUUCUUGAGUGAGUCAGAGGCAAGCGGAAUUCCCAGUGUAGCGGUGAAAUGCGUAGAUAUUGGGAGGAACACCAGUGGCGAAGGCGGCUUGCUGGGGCUUUACUGACGCUGAGGCUCGAAAGCGUGGGGAGCAAACAGGA